rnacentral:rRNA from 1 species
AUUGAACGCUGGCGGCAGGCCUAACACAUGCAAGUCGAGCGGAUGAAGGGAGCUUGCUCCUGGAUUCAGCGGAGGACGGGUGAGUAAUGCCUAGGAAUCUGCCUGGUAGUGGGGGAUAACGUCCGGAAACGGGCGCUAAUCCCGCAUACGUCCUGAGGGUGAAAGUGGGGGUUCUUCGGACCUCACGCUAUCAGAUGAGCCUAGGUCGGAUUAGCUAGUUGGUGGGGUAAAGGCCUACCAAGGCGACGAUCCGUAACUGGUCUGAGAGGAUGAUCAGUCACACUGGAACUGAGACACGGUCCAGACUCCUACGGGAGGCAGCAGUGGGGAAUAUUGGACAAUGGGCGAAAGCCUGAUCCAGCCAUGCCGCGUGUGUGAAGAAGGUCUUCGGAUUGUAAAGCACUUUAAGUUGGGAGGAAGGGCAGUAAGUUAAUACCUUGCUGUUUUGACGUUACCAACAGAAUAAGCACCGGCUAACUUCGUG